rnacentral:rRNA from 1 species
AAGCUCGUAGUUGAAUUUCGGGACCAUCAUGUCGGUCGUGCCUCGGUACGUACUGGCAUUGUUGGUUUCUCCCUUCUGACGAACCAUGAUGUCAUUUAUUUGGUGUUGUGGGGAAUCAGGACUGUUACUUUGAAAAAAUUAGAGUGUUUAAAGCAGGCUCACGCUUGAAUACAUUAGCAUGGAAUAAUGAAAUAGGACGUUUGAUUCUAUUUUGUUGGUUUCUAGGAUCGACGUAAUGAUUAAUAGGGAUAGUUGG